GAUGAACGCUGGCGGCGUGCCUAACACAUGCAAGUCGAGCGAUUCUCUUCGGAGAAGAGCGGCGGACGGGUGAGUAACGCGUGGGUAACCUGCCCUGUACACACGGAUAACAUACCGAAAGGUAUGCUAAUACGGGAUAACAUAAGAAAUUCGCAUGUUUUUCUUAUCAAAGCUCCGGCGGUACAGGAUGGACCCGCGUCUGAUUAGCUAGUUGGUGAGGUAACGGCUCACCAAGGCGACGAUCAGUAGCCGACCUGAGAGGGUGAUCGGCCACAUUGGAACUGAGACACGGUCCAAACUCCUACGGGAGGCAGCAGUGGGGAAUAUUGCACAAUGGGCGAAAGCCUGAUGCAGCAACGCCGCGUGAGCGAUGAAGGCCUUCGGGUCGUAAAGCUCUGUCCUCAAGGAAGAUAAUGACGGUACUUGAGGAGGAAGGCCCCGGCUAACUACGUGCCAGCAGCCGCGGUAAAAGUGUGGUGUA
rnacentral:rRNA from 1 species